CAGUGUUGUACUCUGCGCACCUUUCCAUUAUAGCAUUUUGAUGUAAAGAAAUUUCAGCUUCUUUCUUAAUGUAACACAUUACAGCAGAAAUGCUUUUUUUUAAUGAUAUGAAGAGAAUUACACAUUGGUUUAUUUUAAUAUAGUUUUAAUUCUUUUUUAAAACACAUUUUUUUUUUUGCCUGGGAAACUAACCCAAAAUAAGGUCUGUGGAUUAUGUAGUUUAGUUGUUUUUAAAACACAAGAGAAAUUAGAUGCGUUUAUAAGUUAAUUCAGCAGAACCCAUCUAUUAGGAUAGCUAAAAUUAAAUACUGACUUCGAAUACUGGUAAAGAUAUUUGGAGUAUCCAGUACUCUUUACAAACUGCAAGAAGCCCUGGUGGUUUCUUAAUAAAACUAAUCUGACACCUCCUCAUGACCUAGCAAUUAAAUUAAAACCUAAUCCUAGGUUUUAAGACUUUUCAGGAGUGCUCUUAUCAACUAUAUUCAUACUAGCCCCAAACCAGAAGCAUCCUGGAUGUCCAUUAUUAAAAAAAAUUGGGGAAAAGCUAAUUUAAGAGAUGGUAUGUCUGGAGUUUGCCCCAAAAUAAUGAAGGCUGGAGGGAAAGCGAAAGCAAAAAUGAAACCAAAUUAGUCAUAUGUUAAGAACUGUUGAAGCUGGGUAGGCAUAUUUUUUUUUUUUUUUUUUUUUUUUUGAGAUGGAGUCUCACUCUAUCACCCAGGCUGGAGUACAUUGGUGCAAUCUUGGCUCACUGCAA
rnacentral:lncRNA from 1 species